rnacentral:tRNA from 1 species
GGGGCUGUAGCUCAGUUGGUAGAGCGCUUGCAUGGCAUGCAAGNGGGUAGGGCGGGCGUCCGCGCGGGGCUCG